rnacentral:rRNA from 1 species
AGCGAACGCUGGCGGCAGGCCUAACACAUGCAAGUCGAACGAACUCUUCGGAGUUAGUGGCGGACGGGUGAGUAACACGUGGGAACGUGCCUUUAGGUUCGGAAUAACUCAGGGAAACUUGUGCUAAUACCGAAUGUGCCCUUCGGGGGAAAGAUUUAUCGCCUUUAGAGCGGCCCGCGUCUGAUUAGCUAGUUGGUGAGGUAAAGGCUCACCAAGGCGACGAUCAGUAGCUGGUCUGAGAGGAUGAUCAGCCACAUUGGGACUGAGACACGGCCCAAACUCCUACGGGAGGCAGCAGUGGGGAAUCUUGCGCAAUGGGGGAAAGCCUGACGCAGCCAUGCCGCGUGAAUGAUGAAGGUCUUAGGAUUGUAAAAUUCUUUCACCGGGGACGAUAAUGACGGUACCCGGAGAAGAAGCCCCGGCUAACUUCGUG